GGCGGAGUUUAGCGGGCGGCGACUUCGGUCAAAGCCUGUUAAACUUAGCGGCGGACGGGUGAGUAACACGUAGGCAACCUGCCCAUGACACGGGGAUAGCUUCGGGAAACCGGAGGUAAUACCCGAUACCUUUACUUAUCGCAUGGUAAGUAAAGAAAGCGACUUAGCGGUCAUGGAUGGGCCUGCGUCCCAUUAGCUAGUUGGUGAGAUAACAGCCCACCAAGGCGACGAUGGGUAGCCGACCUGAGAGGGUGACCGGCCACACUGGAACUUAGACACGGUCCAGACUCCUACGGGAGGCAGCAGUGGGGAAUAUUGCGCAAUGGGUGAAAGCCUGACGCAGCGACGCCGCGUGAGCGAAGAAGGCCUUCGGGUCGUAAAGCUCAGUCAUUGGGGAUGACAUGGACAGUACCCAAGGAGGAAGCCCCGGCUAACUACGUGCCAGCAGCCGCGGUAAUACGUAGGGGGCGAGCGUUGUCCGGAAUUACUGGGUGUAAAGGGCGUGUAGGCGGGGAUGCAAGUUACUGGUAAAAACCCGAGGCUCAACCACGGGCUUGCCGGUAAAACUGUAUCUCUUGAGUGUAGGAGAGGGAAGUGGAAUUCCCGGAGUAGCGGUGAAAUGCGUAGAUACCGGGAGGAACACCAGUGGCGAAGGCGGCUUCCUGGCCUACUACUGACGCUGAGGCGCGAAAGCUAGGGGAGCGAACGGGAUUAGAUACCCCGGUAGUCCUAGCCGUAAACGAUGGUCACUAGGUGUGGGUGGU
rnacentral:rRNA from 1 species